CAAAUAUUUCCCAUGCAUCUCGAGAUACAUAUGUAGGUAUGUAUGUUAUAUGUAUCAUAUUUCUAGGUUUGGAGGAAGGCGUAUGGCGAAAGCUAUGUUAUGUGAAGAUCGUAGCUCACAGUAUUAACGUUGUAUCUGGAAGAGCAAUAAAUACAAGUAUAAUAGAAGAUCCAAGCGAUACGUUCCUACGAUUGUAUCGUACUUUCGACUUCAGGAUCAUUCUAAAGCCUUGGAUAGAAUAAAACAACACUUCUAAGACAUGAUCGGACGUACGUGACCACUAAAGCCGUUUACUAUGACUACGAAGGAAGAAAAUUCUCAAGGGAGAAAGAGAAAGAGAGAAGGAGAUAAUAUAACCAGGUCUCUGAAUACGCGCUCUGCUAACCCACUUACUACUAUGUUACGACGUUGUUCCAUCUUCUUGGAUGAGAAAUGAGGUUAGUACAUUCACGGACUCCGGGGAAUCCAAAAGAGGAACGACGCCUCUGCAUUAAUCCAAUCUUUCCUUCUCCUUUCGAGCCACACCAAACUCGAACUUUUAAAUCAACGGCACACCUUUUGA